GACGAACGCUGGCGGCGUGCCUAAUACAUGCAAGUCGAGCGAAUCAAUAGGAGCUUGCUCCUGUUGGUUAGCGGCGGACGGGUGAGUAACACGUGGGCAACCUGCCUGUAAGACUGGGAUAACACCGGGAAACCGGUGCUAAUACCGGAUAAUCCUUUUCCUCUCAUGAGGAAAAGCUGAAAGUCGGUUUCGGCUGACACUUACAGAUGCGCCCGCGGCGCAUUAGCUAGUUGGUGAGGUAAUGGCUCACCAAGGCGACGAUGCGUAGCCGACCUGAGAGGGUGAUCGGCCACACUGGGACUGAGACACGGCCCAGACUCCUACGGGAGGCAGCAGUAGGGAAUCUUCCACAAUGGACGAAAGUCUGAUGGAGCAACGCCGCGUGAGCGAUGAAGGCCUUCGGGUCGUAAAGCUCUGUUGUUAGGGAAGAACAAGUACCGGAGUAACUGCCGGUACCUUGACGGUACCUAACCAGAAAGCCACGGCUAACUACGUGCCAGCCGCCGCAGAAA
rnacentral:rRNA from 1 species